AAUGAACGUUGGCGGCGUGGAUUAGGCAUGCAAGUCGUGCGGAAAGGCUCCUUCGGGAGUACUCGAGCGGCGAAAGGGAGAGUAACGCGUGGAUAUCUACCCCCUGGACUGGGAUAGCGGCGGGAAACUGCCGGUAAUACCAGAUAAUGUCUGCGGACCAAAGGUGUGAUUCCGCCGGGGGAUGAGUCCGCGUCCUAUUAGCUAGUUGGUGGGGUAAUGGCCCACCAAGGCAAAGAUGGGUACCGGGUGUGAGAGCAUGGCCCGGCUCACUGGGACUGAGACACUGCCCAGACACCUAGGGGUGGCUGCAGUCGAGAAUCUUCGGCAAUGGGCGCAAGCCUGACCGAGCGACGCCGCGUGCGGGAUGAAGGCCUUCGGGUUGUAAACCACUGUCAGAGGGGAGGAAAUGCAUGAGGGUUCUCUCUCAUGUUUGACCUAUCCUCAGAGGAAGUACGGGCUAAGUUCGUGCCAGCCGCCGCCGUAACAC
rnacentral:rRNA from 1 species